rnacentral:lncRNA from 1 species
AGUGCUCAGGGGAUAUAAAAAUAAUGCAUUGUAUGCCGGAAGGGAUAAAUCUGGGGCUGAGUACAAGCAAAACAAGACCAAAGGAAGCUACCUGAGCAGUCACUGGAGCCCUAAUGAUCGCAGCCAUUUCAGGAAAUGCCAUCAAUUACAGUGAGGAGCUCAUUCAGAAGUGAAAGAUGAGUUCCAUUCUCUGUUACUUAGAGGAACACAAUUAUUUCUGGAAAGAGUAUUACACUCAGUAUUCUGCAUUUCAUAUGGCAUUUCAAAGUCCUGAGAAUGACUCUCCGUAGUCUUCUAUGUACUAAUUAAACAUGAACAUGUGGUAAACAACAUGGACUAUUCCAGUGGACAGAAAGCGUCAAGUUAAAAUGUUUAAGUGCCCCAUAUUUUUCUAAGUAUUCUUAUCCAGUUGGUCUGACUGGUCAUUAUCUGUUUUGUAAAACUUCCCAAACAACUCAUCAAUAUUUAAAUAGCUAUCCAAAUUAUAAACUUCAAAUAGCAGAAUCCAAAUGUCAUUUAUGCAUAAUUCAAAAGAACUUUGCUGAAAACAAUCUUUGGAUUACAAUUGCUCUCUAAUCCACCUCUUGAAUUUCUACAUAAGAAUUCAAUGCCAAUGCAAUUCAAAUCAAUUCAUUCAUGGUUGAUGUUAAAACUUCCUUUAAGAGGAUAGUAUGGCAGAAACAAAACUGAAUUUGAACAAGAGGGAAACUGCAGAAGAUAAACAUUUUUUCUGUAGAAAGUUUCCAACUUUUACAUUUUUGUGGUAAUUUUUAACAUUAUAGGUAUAAUUAAAUUAUCACUAAAGUUAUAUCUAUUAAUCCUAAGUGGUUUAAAAUAAUUUCUCUGUUCAAACUGAUGCAGCUCGCUAUUACAAUUUAAUAUAAUUUUUUCAAACUAUAAUUGAUUUCUAAGACUAGUAAAAUUUUUGAGCUACCAUUAACCCCAAAAUAUCUGGAAAAAGAAAAUCAUCAUAGGUAACUCCUGAUGACUCCUACCUCUUUCAGUCACAUACUUAGCAUUAUCUGCUGUACAGGUUUAAAGAAUGUUGGUCACAGGAUUGAAGUGAAUAUUUCAUUUAUGUGUAGCCAAAAUAUUAUCAUAUGAAGCCCAAAAGAAGAGUAAAAUACAUCCUUGUGAUAUUAUUAACAUGACUUUGUGCCAGACAAAGCAUAGUUACUCUACAGAUGGAUUAUGAAUAGAGAAAAAGUGUGUAGUUGAAUUCUUUGGAAUUAUGGACUAUAUUCCAUAAAUCCCAGAUGGAGUCACUAUGAUUAAUGUUACCUCAAUGAAUACAAAAUGAAUAAAUAAUUAUCCUCCA